GCCCCAUCCCCCCAGCCCCCACCCUCGGCUGCUGCCCGAGCUUCCUCCACACGCCGUGCAGUCUCCACGGCGACGCGGCGUCCCAGACUCGGAGCCCAGAGCCCAGCGCGAGCAGCUAGCCGGGCUGGCUCUCGGUGUCUGCCCUUCGGAUGGUCGGCUGGAGAAAGCCGCCAGCUGGACUUCUGUAGACAAGACAGAUACUGUAAAGACAGCAAAGAACAGACAGAAUGGCAGAUUGCUAAUGUCUGAUCCAAAGGAAAAAGUGACGAUUGAAUCAAAUGAAGCAAUGUCAGAUAAAUGUCUCUCUGGACACAGACCAAGAUUGACAAGCAAACUUAAUACCCCACCAACACAGAUCUCUCUAAAUGUAGCUAAGACAUUCUCAGAAAAGUAAGUUUUAAUUAAUUUUGUUUUUAGGCCCAUGUUUGACA
rnacentral:lncRNA from 1 species